GAUGAACGCUAGCGGGAGGCCUAAUACAUGCAAGUCGAACGGUAAGGUCAGAGUUUACUUUGAUACACGAGUGGCGCACGGGUGAGUAACGCGUACAUACCUACCUUUAAGAGGUGGAUACACCUGGGAAACUGGGGAUAAUACACCAUGUGGUUAUAGGAUUUAUUUUAUAAUUAAAGCCUUAGGGUGCUUAGAGAUGGAUGUGCGUAUGAUUAGCUAGUUGGUAGUGUAAUGGACUACCAAGGCGACGAUCAUUAGGGGGCGUGAGAGCGUGGACCCCCACACGGGUACUGAGACACGGACCCGACUCCUACGGGAGGCAGCAGUAAGGAAUAUUGGUCAAUGGAGGGAACUCUGAACCAGCCAUCCCGCGUGGAGGAAGCGGCCCUAUGGGUUGUAAACUCCUUUUAGUAAGAAGAAAAUGCGAUAUUUAUAUUGUACUGACGGUAUUACAAGAAUAAGCACCGGCUAAC
rnacentral:rRNA from 1 species